AGCUGGCUGGGUUUUUUAAAAAGUAGAAAUAUAGAUCGUUUCGUUAAAAAAAACCGGAUGUUUUUACGUCUUUCGCUUCAGUUUCUAUGGGCCUUCGAAGAAAAACAAACUAUGGGACCUGGCAUCAAAAUGACCAUUGGGGUAAACUGAAGACAAACCACUUCCAGAUGAACAGCAAUGGCUUGGACUUAUACCAAGGCGCUUCAAGCUGCCAGUAACAAAUGUUGGUAAUUGUACAACCUUUAGAAUUCUAUUUGUUUUAUAAUUUUUUAAACAAUUUCACAAGACAAAACACAAGGACAAUUUCAGCUUCAUCAUAAUUUUUAACAGUAAUUAUUUAAAAACGUGGCCGCAGGAGUAUACAGAAAAUAUUUCCAGUAGACCCUGUAAGGACCAUGGGACUUACCACCCCUAUCUCCAAAUUUGUUGAAUCCACCUCCACCACGACUGCCGCUGCAAUGAAGUAUGAAGUAGAAGUUAUGCAACUGUAGUCCUGCACAAGCCGUCGAGUCCUUGGUGUUCAUGCCCAGACCAGCUUGAGCAAGGCUAAACACCUAGUUAUCUCAUUGUAUUAACAUCUUACACCAGGUCCCAGGAUUUUAAAUUUAUAUCUUCAUCAAAACCCUUUUUGUAAAACCAGGAAGGUCAUACAAAUGAGCCUCCCAAUAUAACCACACAAUUAGUACUCAUCACCUUGAUUCACUUAUAUAUAAACUAAUUGUACUGCUUUGUGGCUCUGAUAUAUCAUUCAUUAAAUAGGAACAAUUUAAAUUAUAACUUACGUAUGGUCAGUAUAGUUCAGAAUUCAAGAAGACUUUGCGUAAAAUAAAAUACAGUACCUUUCAAUUGAUCUUAAAUUUAAGACCAGCAAUGAAUACCUUUUGUUGAAGGUUACACACAGUUUGGUUAUUCUCACAUUCUAAAUGUCUAUCCAACACACACAACCAAAUUACAGUAUUUUAGUUGAUACAUUUCAAGAACAGCAUUACAUUUUGAUUAUGUUUUCUAAGAAUGUUACUUUGUACUAAAAUAUAUAAAGUACUCCUACCUUACACCAGACAAGCAUAAACAAAGGCUUAAAAACAAUUUGUAAUUGACAUACCUUAAUAAAUUGAGCCAUAAACAUAAUUGUAUUAUGUUUGAAAAAUAAUAUAUAUAUUGUAAGCACUGUAGGAUUAUCUAUUCCAAUGACAAACUAGUCAUAUUUAUGAGUAAAAGAGUCCACUAAAAUGUUCUGACUGAGUUCUCAAGAAAAAAUCAUUUCAUUACUUCUCUUACAAUAAUGUGCUUCCUAUUUUUCUCCCUUACUUAUACACUAAAUUGUCAUUAUUAUUUGGUAUAGAGAUUCCUUCUGAACAAGAACAUUCAUUAGUUUACUGGAGAAAGUGCUUGUUUUAGCAUAAUAUGGUGUCCAACUGCUGUAAAAUGGCAUUCUGGUAUUUCUAAUGCCCUUUCAAUAACAUAAGUAAUGAAUCCUGCCAUGUCACCUCUUGAUAUCACUGCUUUAUUACACACAGAGGUUAGACCUACUCAUCACAAUAAAAUCUAGCCACAUAAAACCAGGCAAGGUAAUUGUAGAAAAACAAUGUAUUUUGGUAAAGCAGCAACAAACUAGACCGUAUACAAAGGAACAUACUGUGUUGCAAACCAUGCUAUUGCAAUAAUAGCUGCUCAGUAUACAGACAUAAAAAAAAAAAAAAAAUAGCUUUAA